GAUGAACGCUGGCGGCGUGCCUAAUACAUGCAAGUCGAGCGAACGGACGAGAAGCUUGCUUCUCUGAUGUUAGCGGCGGACGGGUGAGUAACACGUGGAUAACCUACCUAUAAGACUGGGAUAACUUCGGGAAACCGGAGCUAAUACCGGAUAAUAUUUUGAACCGCAUGGUUCAAAAGUGAAAGACGGUCUUGCUGUCACUUAUAGAUGGAUCCGCGCUGCAUUAGCUAGUUGGUAAGGUAACGGCUUACCAAGGCAACGAUGCAUAGCCGACCUGAGAGGGUGAUCGGCCACACUGGAACUGAGACACGGUCCAGACUCCUACGGGAGGCAGCAGUAGGGAAUCUUCCGCAAUGGGCGAAAGCCUGACGGAGCAACGCCGCGUGAGUGAUGAAGGUCUUCGGAUCGUAAAACUCUGUUAUUAGGGAAGAACAUAUGUGUAAGUAACUGUGCACAUCUUGACGGUACCUAAUCAGAAAGCCACGGCUAACUACGUGCCAGCAGCCGCGGUAAUACGUAGGUGGCAAGCGUUAUCCGGAAUUAUUGGGCGUAAAGCGCGCGUAGGCGGUUUUUUAAGUCUGAUGUGAAAGCCCACGGCUCAACCGUGGAGGGUCAUUGGAAACUGGAAAACUUGAGUGCAGAAGAGGAAAGUGGAAUUCCAUGUGUAGCGGUGAAAUGCGCAGAGAUAUGGAGGAACACCAGUGGCGAAGGCGACUUUCUGGUCUGUAACUGACGCUGAUGUGCGAAAGCGUGGGGAUCAAACAGGAUUAGAUACCCUGGUAGUCCACGCCGUAAACGAUGAGUGCUAAGUGUUAGGGGGUUUCCGCCCCUUAGCGCUGCAGCUAACGCAUUAAGCACUCCGCCUGGGGAGUACGACCGCAAGGUUGAAACUCAAAGGAAUUGACGGGGACCCGCACAAGCGGUGGAGCAUGUGGUUUAAUUCGAAGCAACGCGAAGAACCUUACCAAAUCUUGACAUCCUUUGACAACUCUAGAGAUAGAGCCUUCCCCUUCGGGGGACAAAGUGACAGGUGGUGCAUGGUUGUCGUCAGCUCGUGUCGUGAGAUGUUGGGUUAAGUCCCGCAACGAGCGCAACCCUUAAGCUUAGUUGCCAUCAUUAAGUUGGGCACUCUAAGUUGACUGCCGGUGACAAACCGGAGGAAGGUGGGGAUGACGUCAAAUCAUCAUGCCCCUUAUGAUUUGGGCUACACACGUGCUACAAUGGACAAUACAAAGGGCAGCGAAACCGCGAGGUCAAGCAAAUCCCAUAAAGUUGUUCUCAGUUCGGAUUGUAGUCUGCAACUCGACUACAUGAAGCUGGAAUCGCUAGUAAUCGUAGAUCAGCAUGCUACGGUGAAUACGUUCCCGGGUCU
rnacentral:rRNA from 1 species